rnacentral:rRNA from 1 species
GCAGUCGCCGCGGGAAAACGUAGGUGGCAAGCGUUAUCCGGAAUUAUUGGGCGUAAAGCGCGCGUAGGCGGUUUCUUAAGUCUGAUGUGAAAGCCCACGGCUCAACCGUGGAGGGUCAUUGGAAACUGGGAAACUUGAGUGCAGAAGAGGAAAGUGGAAUUCCAUGUGUAGCGGUGAAAUGCGCAGAGAUAUGGAGGAACACCAGUGGCGAAGGCGACUUUCUGGUCUGUAACUGACGCUGAUGUGCGAAAGCGUGGGGAUCAAACAGGAUUAGAUACCCCAGUAGUCCCUGUCUCUUAUAU